rnacentral:tRNA from 1 species
GCCUGGCUGGCUCAGUUGGUAGAGCAUGUGACUCUUGAUCUUAGGGUUGUGAGUUCAAGCCCCAUGUUGGGUG